CAGUCGCCACGGUAAUACGAAGGGUGCAAGCGUUAAUCGGAAUUACUGGGCGUAAAGCGUGCGUAGGCGGUGAGUUAAGUCUGCUGUGAAAUCCCCGGGCUCAACCUGGGAAUGGCAGUGGAUACUGGCUCGCUAGAGUGUGUCAGAGGAUGGUGGAAUUCCCGGUGUAGCGGUGAAAUGCGUAGAGAUCGGGAGGAACAUUAGUGGCGAAGGCGGCCAUCUGGGACAACACUGACGCUGAGGCACGAAAGCGUGGGGAGCAAACAGGAUUAGAUACCCCCGUAGUCCCUGUCUCUUAUAC
rnacentral:rRNA from 1 species